GAUGAACGCUAGCGGCAGGCCUAAUACAUGCAAGUCGAACGGGAUUAAGAGGCUUGCUUCUUAUGAGAGUGGCGCACGGGUGCGUAACACGUAUGCAACCUACCUUCAACUGGGGGAUAGCCUUCCGAAAGGGAGAUUAAUACCGCAUAACAUAAUUGAACGGCUUCGUUUAAUUAUCAACCUUCAAGGGGUUGAAGAUGGUCAUGCGUCCGAUUAGUUAGUUGGUGAGGUAACGGCUCACCAAGACAUCGAUCGGUAGGGGAUCUGAGAGGAUUGCCCCCCGCACUGGAACUGAGACACGGACCAGACUCCUACGGGAGGCAGCAGUAAGGAAUAUUGGUCAAUGGACGCAAGUCUGAACCAGCCAUGCCGCGUACAGGAAGACGGUCCUCUGGAUUGUAAACUGCUUUUGUUAGGGAAGAAACCCUCGGAUGCGUUCGAGGCUGACGGUACCUAAAGAAUAAGGAUCGGCUAACUCCGUGCCAGCCGCCGCCGUAACAC
rnacentral:rRNA from 1 species